ensembl:Y_RNA Y_RNA Y RNA
AGCUGGUCCAAAGGUAGUGAGUUAUCUCAAUUGAUUGUUCACAGUCAGUUACAGAUCUCUUUGUUCUACUCUUCCCCUUUUUCACUAUUGCACUUCACUAAAAA